UAUUUUCGCAAGGUGCGCUCUGGAUACUUCAGGAAAUAUUUCAAACUAACAGAUGUCCUUUAUUUUAGAUGUGUUUAGCAUGCUGGAACUACAAGUGGGGCUGAAGCUACAGUGGAAGGCACAAUGGAAUCCCCCGUGCUAUCACAAGAAUACAUGGAGGAAAAGGAACAGCAUGCUUCUGAACUCCUGUGGGGCCCUCUUGUCAGCGUGCACACUGAGGAAGCUGAAGGACCACAAGAGGUACAUAGUACUUCUGCUCUGACAAAGGAAAACAGUGUAGAGCUCCCUUUAAC